rnacentral:rRNA from 1 species
AUAGCGUAUAUUUAAGUUGCUGCAGUUAAAAAGCUCGUAGUUGGAUUUCGGAUGGGUUCCGCCGGUCCGCCGUUUCGGUGUGCACUGACGGCGCCCAUCUUGCUGCCGGGGACGGGCUCCUGGGCUUAAUUGUCCGGGACUCGGAGUCGGCGAGGUUACUUUGAGUAAAUUAGAGUGUUCAAAGCAGGCCUACGCUCUGAAUACAUUAGCAUGGAAUAACACGAUAGGACUCUGGCCUAUCUUGUUGGUCUGUAGGACCGGAGUAAUGAUUAAGAGGGACAGUCGGGGGCAUUCGUAUUUCAUUGUCAGAGGUGAAAUUCUUGGAUUUAUGAAAGACGAACUACUG